rnacentral:hammerhead_ribozyme from 1 species
AUCCAGCCGACGAGUCCCAAAUAGAACGAAACGUGUGUCCUGUAU